UAACUUAGGGCUGCAUAUCCUAGGAGAACGGCAUGUUUCCAUCUGAUCAGUUUAUUAAGAUUUAUGGCACAUUCUUUUAGCUUUCAAAGCUGUUCAACUCUACUAUACGACUGCAUUUGCUGUUCAAAUAUUCAGAUGCAUUGUUACCCUGUCCAGAAGUGCAUGCUCUUUCUGUCCAAUCUACCAUCAACUAGCAUGGUAGUGUACAACAAAACAUCAUCCCAUCCAUCUUAGUUGGCACAAAUGCAAAGAAAUCAGUAUUGUUGGGCAUUACAUGUCUGAUUUGGGUAGUAACACAUUCUAGUAGUAAAAAUGAGGUGUGAAUGAAUUUUGUAGCAGCUAAUCAGCUCUGGUUGCCGAUAGUGUUUUUUAAGUAACCACCAAAAACACUUUAUGUAACAAUGCACAUAUCAGGUGAGUUACAUUGUUUCUUCAUAUUUUGUUCUUUCCCUCUUGCAUCUGAAAUAAUCGUUUGCCUUUACAGUUCUAACUAAUACUGAGCUUCUCUCUCAUGGCCUCUGCCUGCAGGAUAUCUUGUGCCAUAUACACUCCCUGAUGCCAAUGAGAGAUGCUGCCCAAGCUGCCUGUGUGUCUCGCGCUUUUCUACAUUCCUGGAGAAGCCAUCCCAACCUUGAUUUCAGUAAGAAAACAUUGGGAUCGAAUAAAAAAACAUAUGGAAAUGGUGAGGUCGCCAGAGAUUUCUCUAGUAAAGUUGACCACAUUCUGAGAAAGCACUCAGGCAUUGGUGUGAAGAAACUCAAGAUUCAUAUGCCCGAAUUUUGCAAUGCAAAGGACUCCUGUUAUCUGGACAGUUGGCUUCAGAUUGCUGUUAUACCAGGAAUUGAAGAUCUUGUACUAGCACUGUGGAAAGCAAAAUAUAACUUCCCAUACUCACUCUUAUCUAAUGGGAGUGGAGACUCAAUACGAUCUCUUCAUCUUGCCGGUUGUUCCUUCCGUCCCACAUCUGAACUUGGUGGGUUAAGAACCCUAACAAGACUGCAUCUUCGUGAUGUCUGUAUCAAGGGGGGCGAGUUAGGGUCCCUUCUUUCUAGUUCUUUGACUUUGGAGCAAUUGGAAAUCAUGAAUUGUGAUGGGAUUGUUUGCCUGAAGGUACCUUGCUUGCUGCAGCGUCUCAGCAACCUAAAGGUAUUUGAAUGCCGCACGCUUCGAGUGAUAGACAGCAAAGCUCCAAAUAUAUCAAGAUUUUCCUUUACUGGAGAUCAUAGAGUUAAAUUAUCACUUGGAGAAGCAUUGCAAAUGAAUAACCUAUUCAUGUGCUUCUCUGGCGCAGUCCAUUACGCUCGUGUUGAACUUCCAUCCAGCAUGCCAAACCUUGAAACUGCUACCAUAUAUUCGGGAAGUGAGGUAUACUCUUAAUUUUGAGUUGACUACCGAUGUCCAUACACUACAGGAGUCAUACCUUGGAGUAUUAAAUAAUUUGGCAUCUUUAUGCAGAUAGUUGAUACACCAAUGCUGCAUAGCAAAUACGCCCACCUCAAGAAUCUAAGUAUUGCUCUCAUAGCUCUAACAUUUCCUCCGACCUAUGAUUAUUUUUCUCUGGCCUCCUUUUUUGAUGCCUGUCCCUCGUUGGAGAUUUUCUUGUUGGAUGUAAGUUGUCGUGAUUCAUAUUGCAUGAUAUUAAUAGCUAUCACAGUGAAACAAUGACUAUAAUUUUUUUUUAAUCCUAGGUCUCACAGCGAAAGAUGGAGCACGUCUCAAUUCUUGGAGAUCCAUCAGGUCUGAGACAUUUGCGAGGACAGCACCACCACAAAAUCAAGAGUGUGAAGAUACUUGGAUUCACGUCUUCAAAGAGCCUGGUUGAGCUAACAUGCCAUGUUGUUGAGAAUAUUACAUCUCUUGAGCUACUUACAUUGGAGGCCCAUCAGAGUACUGUUAGGUGUUCUGUGCCUGCUCACAACUGUCGCAAGUGCUCUCCACUGCCCAUUGAUGUUCUCAUGGAAGCUGAACGGGCACUCUUCGCCAUCAGGGCAUUCAUCGAGCCUAAAGUUUCCUCCAAAGUAAAGUUGAAUAUUGUGGAGCCUUGCCGCCAAUGCCAUGCUGCUGAACUUGCACGUUUAGGAUAAUUGAUUACCAUUAGUUUUUGUUUUUAGACGUGCCAUGGCUCCUUAAAUACAUUGUCAUAAGUUUCCUCCGCGACUUGUGCUGUUAUCUCUGCUUCAUCGUGCUGUUCGGUGUUUAGCUCUGUACUAUAACAUUAUAUUCUCACAAUUCGGUAGUGGAGUACCUUUUUUGUUUGCAAAUUUGCGAGUGCUGUCCCCUUCUCUCUUUAUAAGAGAGAAUAAUGACACAGGACAUGAACAGGUUGGAUGAGACCUUGGUUGAAGCCAUUGUUGUUCAGGCGCAUGGGCCUGACGAAGGUCACAGCUCUGUGACAACUGUCAGAUUUCGAGACUGAGAUUGCUGCAGGAAUUGCUCAUUUCUGAUGAAUUAUUAUGCUGCAGGUACGGUGCUUCCGGUUGUUUCUUUUUUUUCUUCUGCUGAUGGCGCCUACUUACCUGUGCUCAGAAGUCACCACAGAAUUUGAGCUGAUGGAAGCUCGUUGUAUGAACUGGGCUCUGAGUUUUGGAACUUAGAUAAGUAUCAGUGGAGUUCCAGUAUCAGGGGAGAAUUUGGACUGAUAUGAAAGAUUUUGAGCCUUUUUUUAGUUUCAGAUUGCUCAUGUCCAUCGAAGAAAAAGGCUCAUGAAUUGCAUCAAACAACAGUUCCAGUUAAUUCUGACUUUUACUCUCAGAUAGAUCUAUCUGAGGGGUUUGCGAUCGCUUUAGAAAUCCCACUCCGAGUUUAGUAGAAAUCCCACAAGCUUGGUCAAGGUUAAAGUUCCCCAAUAAGCAACACAUAAAUCAAGUUUAGCCCCACGUGGAGGGAGGAGUGGUGAACUCAUUUUGGGCCGGCGACACGGGAGUUGGGCUUCCUAACCAUGGUGCAUCCUCGCGGCCCAGCAGCAGCUUCCUAACUAUCAGCUUCAACUUUAACAGCUUGAGAACACCAGCGAUUCUCUGAUGGCCUGGUACUAACAAAUUCAAACGUUGAAAUUACCGUGUCCACCACUUUGGUUCGAUAAAUAUUUUGAGAAAUUUUAGUGAUCCGGGUCCUAACAUCAAAGUCAAGAUGUGCAAAUGUAUAAUAAGGGAAUAGUAAAAUAACCCUCCAAUUUUAGAUGUCUAACUAUAGCUAGUCAAGUUGAAAAUCACCGACGCAUAUCGUUUCUGCAUUCUCAAUUAUCAAUCCACCCCACAAGAUUUGGCGGCCAUGUCGUAUUAGCAAGGGUGAAUAGGACAAGUAUUAGGCGGCAUGGUUCACGACUCCACGUGAUUUGGUUCAUUGGUUGAGUUAAGAGUCCGCUAGCUGCUACUCUGCUACACAUGACCCAACACGCCAAAAGAUGGCAUCAAAGUGCAACCAAAAUCCCUCACAAAGGCCCACGUAGCAGUUCUGUUUUGUAAAUCAUAUUUAUGCAUUACUAGUUGCCCAAAAUUUCCCAUCCUUUACCGCCGACAGUUAAAAAAGCAGAUACAGCUUCCAGCCCCAUGUUAACUGGUCAUUAUCAGGCUACAAAAGUAAGAUAACAACAUCAUACAGUAAUUAUGGUUUCAUCAAAAGCAAACACUAGUCCAGGGACACCUAUCAGGGUAACUAUGAAUCUCAGAACAUGUGGUGAUUGACAUUUUGCUGCAAAGCUGAUCUCAACAAUCGCCGGUAGAGAGAUUGUCCUCAAAGACACCAAUAGGAUCCACCAUAUAGUACAAGGAGCUUUCUCAUGUGGGGAUUAUUGGUAGAGGAUUUAGGAUUAUCAUAUACACGGGCUGUUGAGUCAAGCGUGACUGUUGAAGAGAAAGGAUCUUUGCUCUUUCAAGCACAAAGCCUCAAUUCACCUGUCGUCAACUUGUGCCUGAUUGGAUUGAAAGGAUGAUAGCUAUGUGGAUCGAAUCUGUCACAGAAUUGCAGCAUCUGGGUUCUAACAGUCAAAAAGAAAAUAAAAGCCUAUCUAGGCGUGAGCACUUGCAAAAGAAAUCUAUCAGAAAGACUAAACAGAAGUACAUAAAUCAAGUAUCAGCUUUCAGUUGUUAUUCAACUUUUGUGAAGCAGAUGCGUAUAACGGGUGGACAUCAAGCACUAACUUAUAAGAGAACAUUCAGCAUUUGUCUGCUCAAUUAUACCUGCCUAUCAUCUUCCAACUGAACAAGAACCUGUGGAACAGAGAUGUUCAGGAAGCUUGCAAGCAAUGAUAUGCCACUACUUCUUUAAAGUGUCAGUUUCUACCGUCCCAACAAAUCCUAGGAACAACAGUCACAGAACCUCCUCAUGCACAUGUGCAUGAGGGUGUAAGGCAACAUUCUAAAGUUGAGAAGAGUUCACAACAUUCUAAACAAGUUUGCACUUGGAAAAAAACAGAAACAAGGGCAGGGAAUUUAAAUCAGGCAUAACACAAAGUGAGCAGGUAGAUUCGGAUGAGAAGGCCAAGCUUCUAGAGAGAUCAACAGCUUUCAUUCCAGACUCACAGUAGUAGCAACAGACAUGUUCUGACGACGACAUUAACAGAUGUAUGCAUCUUAUACUACAAACAGGAAGAUUAACUACGAUUUCUCAGGGCGAAAUGGAACGAACUACUCCUCAAACACAAACAAAAUUCGACCCCACCGGAACUUCUAUGUAUUUGCAGUAUGUAGAGCACCACCCGAGACUAGAUCAGCACCACCCGAGACUAGAUCAGCACCACCCGAGACUAGAUCAGAAUCGGAACCCCUGUACUACUCUAAAGUAGGAUGUAACGUCUCUUGUGCACCUUCUUCGAGAUCACCUCGAGCCCGUAGAGGCGAUCUGCCAACCAAGACGGUGGACGCUUCGACUUGAGGACCUUCUCGGCGACCGAGCGGAAGCGGUUUUCGAUCCAGGCCGCCAGGGUGCGAAGGUAGCCGGAGGACCUCUUGGCGAUGCGGCGAAUCCCUUGCGCCUGGCCGGAGAGGCGGCGAAGGGCGGAGUCAUCAGCGGGGUUGCGGAGCAGCGCGGGGAUGAUUUCGUACCGGACGGUGCGGAGGCGCAUGUCGAGGCGGGAGGCGUGUCGGAGUUGGUCCAUCCCCAGCACCUCCCACCCGGUCCCCUCCAUGCUCUUCUCCAGAAACACGCUCUCCAUGGCGGGUGCGUCGCAGAGUCGCUCGACGCCCACAAGCUUGACGUAGUGGGGGUCGACGACGUGGCGGAGGUUCUCGGCAUCCGCCAGCAGCUGCACCUGGGCGAAUGGGAGCGCCAUCGGAGCUGGAGCGCGGGGAGGGAGGUGGUCGCGGGAGGAAGGUGGAUCGGAUCCGAUGUGGAUAGCCGGCGAAGGAGUGGGUGGGGGAUCCGCCGGGCGCCGCUCCUGGAUUUUAUAGCCGAGCGGAAUCGGGCGGGAAACUGGAGGGGUGAAUCCGCGUGACCCCCGCCCUGCACCGUCCGAUCGCUCCGAACCGCCUCAAACGAGCGGUCCAGAUCGGUUGCAGACGGGGAUGGGAGCGCGGACGCCCGGGCGCCGCGAGCUUAGCUGGCGCCUGCCGGGAGCCGAUCUGGCGCCCGACGGGAAGCGAGCGGGGCCUUCUUGGGCCGGAUCGCUGCUGGUCGUGGGCCGGAUCAAUUUGUUUCAUUCAAUAAUAAUAAGCUAAAACGAACAGGGAAGGUAUCACUGGGGGAAUGUUUACUUCACCCCCAACUCCCAACUUUGGCACUAUGCAAAAAGAAGAUUCCCCAUCACAUCAAAUUUGCGGUACAUGCAUGGAGUACUAAAUGUAUAUGAAAUUAAAAACUAAUUGCACAAUUUUGUUGUACUUUGCGAGACGAAUCUUUUGAGCCAAAUUAGUCAAUGUUUGGACAAUAAUUCACAAAUACAAACGAAACGCUACAGUGUGCUACAGUGCCAGCUCAAUAAUUUGGCACCUGCCAAUUUGGCCAACUAAACAAGGCCCCCAUAUUUACAGUGAAAGCCAAUCAUACAAUGCCAGGGAGUUGGAGGGGACAACCAUCAUCAUUUCCUUUGCCAGUUCUAAAAUUAGCAUUAUAUAAGUGCAUCCGUGUUACUAUAUGCUUGUAAACCAAGAAAAACAGGUCACUUCAAACAUAAGUUUGGACACAAAGUCCGUUACGACCAGCAAGGUCGGAAGUCUAAUACAGAUGGCAGGACUAACACAUUCACUCAUCUUACAUGGCUGCAUCUGGAAACUAUGUGGUGCUCGGGAUGAACCGAUGUCUAGAGCACUUUCUCAAAAACAAGAAGACUACUAUGACGGUGGACUACCAAUUCUCUUUCUUGUUGAAUGCAAAAGAAGCAAGAUUAUACCGUAUACUAUGUGAUUUCAUCUUAGAUGAUCAAAUCACUAAAUGAUCUCUCUCUACGGCACUCUUAUUUCGAUGUUUGGCCAGGCUUCUUCUUUCCCGAAGGAACUCUCACUCUCUGGAAUGUCCGAUUAACCGCUGCUUAGUGGUAUCGAAUGAUACAAAGUUGUUCAAGGAGAUAAACGCGAACACAAGAAAUUGUGUACCUUAGAUGCCAUAAGUGUUCCUUACCGAGGGAAAAAGCAUUGGGACUGCUUUACCCACCCUUAUUAGCAACCUCAUCAUAAAGAGUAACCAGAAGGACAAUAUGCAGAUCUUCUCCUUGCCUUCCUUACAGCUACGAGAGAUGAAAGGUGCUCAUGCCUCCUUUUAUGCGCAACCUCGACAAGACCAGGGCUUUGCAUACCUGUGACGUCCUUCACCAAUACCAUAUAUACAAGCAUGGUCUAGCUUCCGCUCUGGCCGGACCACCACUGAUCCAGGAACUUCUGCAUCGUUCACCGUCACUCUUCUCACCAUACCUUGCCACCAACAGCUGUGAGCAUGCUUCCAUUGCAGGCUUGUAGCUGAAAAGUGGAAUCGCAACCGGUAUCCUGGUGGAAUCGCCAUCGGCAGCAAUCGAGAGCCCCAAGCCCCCUGAGUGCACAACAUGAGAGCACGUGGGCACACUGGGAGCGAUGCUUGCCGGUGCGGAAUGAUACGAUAGGAUCAACAUAGCCCAUUACCAAUGUGACUAUGGGAUUGCAGUCAGAAUCCAAGCCGGUGUGGAUGAAAGACACCAACUCAUCAUCUUCAACUUUCUUGCCAACACUAGAUUGGGCGGUAGAAUUUGCACAUUUAGUUAACUAAAUUAUGCACUUUUUCUAUUAACUUAUAGAGUAGUAUUAGAUUUUAACAAAAUAUGAGUAGCUCUCAUGACUAAAUGAAUUAAUUUACAAUACAUGAGUCAAUGAUUUUCUAUACUUAAGUUUACUACGUAUCAUCCAUAUAAUUCUUCUUGGCCCCCCUAAUAUCAAAUCCUGGCUCCACCCCUGGCCACUAGUUCAUCACCAAGUGUUUUCAUCUUGUCAAAGUAGACAGCUGUAGCCAUGCUCCCGUUCUUCAGGGUUGAGAGCUAGAGCUGCAUACGUAGAUUUGUUACCCUAGCACGCAUUGAGCUGAGAACAUAGUCGUGACCUUUGUCCACACCUCUGAUGUAGACUCAAGCGUUGCAACCUGGCCUAACACUUCCUUGAAUAUUGAGUUAAACAAGUAGUCCAGUACCUGCUGAUCUUGUGCAAGCCUCACGGAGUAAGACGGAUUGGAGAGAACCUCCUUGGAUUUGUCUUCCUUGACAAUCUCUAAGAUCUGCGUCGACGCUUUGGAGGACUCAUCUAGGAUCCUCAUGAGUUGAGCUCCUCUAAUUGCAAGAAGAACUUGUGCCUUGCACAGGACAUGUAGCUUGGGGACCAAAAGGUGCUGGUGUAGUGCUAGAGGAAGAAGAUGCCAUGGCAGUAGAUGGAUAUAGGAGAAGAGGGUUCUGAUUACCAUGAAAUAUUUGGUAAACUGUUAGCUACCUAACUCGGCUCGCCACAUGUUCCAUGUUAUAUGAGGCACAUCAAACUCUUCUUAUAAAAUUUAGAGGCGCGGUGGAGGUAACGGCGGCACCCUAACUUGGGUCACCACCGAUGCAUGUUGAUUAGCUGGACAGAACAGCCCCAUCCGUGACCUUGACAUAGGGCGCAACCUGCUGGAGAGACCGAGAGGUCAAGCUAUCUGUUACAACUUACAAGAAUCCUAAUAGCUUAACAAGUCUAUCUACAUGAUAUGACUCGACCCUUAUCAAAUCCAGGAGGGUUACUUGAGAUACAAGUUAGGAGUUUAACCCGUAUCCUAUCUCUAGACCUUCUAGAGAUUUUAAAUUUCUAAUCUAUAUGUCCCUCUAUUUCAAAUUGUAGGUCGUUUUAGCUUUUUUUAGGUUCAUGGAUAUUAUUAUACAUCUGGAUAUAGUGUAUGUCUAAUUGCAUAAUUAUAUCCAUGAAUCUAGAAAAGUCAAAACGACCUGCAAUUUAGAACAAAUGGAGUAUCUGCUAAGGGCAGCUCCAGUGCCGGUUCGACUCAUGCUAUCCAUGGAACCUGAAGUUCCGAACACAACUUGAUGGCUGCAGUGUUGAAUCGAUGUGUGGGAUCCGGACUUCAACAAAAACAUGCAUCUCUCUAUUGCACAACUUCCGUCUGUGUCUGUGCAGCUGAAUUUUUUAUUCAACGCGGUUCAAACAGAGAAUACUAUUCGAUCUUACGUCUGCAGUGUUCGAUGCUCGCUAUGUACUCUGUUCGUUCUAUUGUUGGACUUGCCUAACACACCACUCACCAAGUCACCAGCAGCGCCGCACCCGCACCCAGAUCAAAAAUUGCUGCCCGCGCAAGAGACGAUCCGAUGCACGCGUCGCGGAGCCACCUGCCCGCGACUGGCGCCGCCGACGCCCUCCUCCGCCUCGUGGCCGCCUGCCGCGCGCCCGCUCACCAUGCUGAUUCAAGCUACCAUGCUGUCAAAUGGCAGAGCACAGCAUCUUUUUCCAAUCCAUUUCUAGUGCUAGCUCGGCCUCGACGCGAACCGCUACGUGGCGCACUCGGCGAUCAGCAUGUACGCACGGUGCGGCCGCCCGGAGGACGCGUACAGGGUGUUCGACGGAAUGCAGCACCGGGACGUCGUCUCCUGGAACGCCAUGAUCUCUGGGUUCGCGCGCGCGGGUUUGUUUGAACGUGCGGUGGAGGUUUUCAAGGAGUUUGUGGCACUGCAGUGUUCAAUCCCCGAUGCCGGUACAAUGGCAAGCAUCUUGCCAGCUACGGGGAAUGCCAAGGCAGAGGACAUAUUAUUCGUCAGGAAAGCGUUUGACGAGAUGCAGUUUAAACAACUUAUUUCUUGGAAUGCAAUGCUCGCUAUAUAUGGGUACCAUGUUAAGGCUGUUGAACUGUUCUUGAGGAUGGAAGAGGAUGGGAUUGGGGUCAAACCUGAUUCAGUGACUCUGGCAACAGUUCUUCCUCCAUGUGGGGAGCUCUCAGCAUUUUCGGUGGGAAAACGGAUCCAUGAGAAUAUCAAGAGGAAAAUGAUGCUCCCUAACUUGUUGCUUGAAAAUGCUCUCUUGGACAUGUGUGCUAACUGUGGAUGUUUGAAGGAUGCUUCGGAGGUCUUUGAUUCCAUGAGUGCACGGGAUGUGAUACCGUGGACUUCAAUCAUAUCUGCUGAUGGCAAGCAUGGUCAUGGAAGAGAGGCUGUUGAUCCUUUUGAGAAGAUGCUAGGACAGGGUCCGGAACCUGACUCUAUUGCCUUCGUUGCUGUUCUCGCAGCAUGCAGCCAUGCUGGUCUUUUGGAUGUUGGAAAAUGCUACUUCGGUUCUAUGACGUCCAGGUAUCACAUAGCUCCUAAAGCAGAGCACUAUACUUGCAUGGUGGACCUUCUUGGCCGCGCUGGUUGUAUAAGUGAGGCAUAUGAUUUCAUCACGACAAUGCCUAUUGAGCCAAAUGAAAGAGUCUGGGGAGCCUUAUUACAAGCUUGUCGAAUUCACUCUAGUAUGGACAUUGGGGUUGUGGCAGCAGACAGUUUAUUCCGAUUGGUACCUGAGCAAACAGGAUAUUAUGUGCUAUUAUCUAAUAUGUAUGCUAGGGCUGGGAGAUGGGCUGAUGUUACCUCGGUGAGAAGUGUCAUGGCAAACAAGGGUAUCAAGAAAUUGCCUGGUGCUAGCAUUGUUGAGCUAGGGGAUCGGCUUCACACAUUUCAUAUUGGUGAUAGAUAUCACCCGCAAUCUGAAAUGAUCUAUCAGAAAUUGGAUGAGCUAUUGGGAAGAAUCAGGGGAAUGGGUUAUAACCCAGAGGUGGAGGCCACACUUCAUAAUGGUUAAGAAGACAAGGAGGGUCAUCUUUCAGUUCACAGUGAGAAAUUGGCUAUUGCAUUUCUCCUAAUAAACACUAGUCCAGGGACACCUAUCAGGGUAACUAUGAAUCUCAGAACAUGUGGUGAUUGACAUUUUGCUGCAAAGCUGAUCUCAACAAUCACCGGUAGAGAGAUUGUCCUCAAAGACACCAAUAGGAUCCACCAUAUAGUACAAGGAGCUUUCUCAUGUGGGGAUUAUUGGUAGAGGAUUUAGGAUUAUCAAAUACACGGGCUGUUGAGUCAAGCGUGACUGUUGAAGAGAAAGGAUCUUUGCUCUUUCAAUUCACCUGUCGUCAACUUGUGCCUGAUUGGAUUGAAAGGAUGAUAGCUAUGUGGAUCGAAUCUGUCACAGAAUUGCAGCAUCUGGGUUCUAACAGUCAAAAAGAAAAUAAAAGCCUAUCUAGGCGUGAGCACUUGCAAAAGAAAUCUAUCAGAAAGACUAAACAGAAGUACAUAAAUCAAUUAUCAGCUUUCAAUUGUUAUUCAACUUUUGUGAAGCAGAUGCGUAUAACGGGUGGACAUCAAGCACUAACUUAUAAGAGAACAUUCAGCAUUUGUCUGCUCAAUUAUACCUGCCUAUCAUCUUCCAACUGAACAAGAACCUGUGGAACAGAGAUGUUCAGGAAGCUUGCAAGCAAUGAUAUGCCACUACUUCUUUAAAGUGUCAGUUUCUACCGUCCCAACAAAUCUUAGGAACAACAGUCACAGAAGCUAUUACCCCUUGGCUCAUGUUAAGAAGUUACAUGACUGUCAAUCAGCUUCCCACGCAGCUCUCCUCUAUUCGCUCCCAAGAAAAUCACACUAUAUACAUGGCAGUCCAUUUCGCAAUAAUGCAUCCUAUAUUCCUAUUAGAUAGUCAGGACAGGCAAGCAGUUCUAGGAGUGAAAACUAAAAAGGAUUUCUAUCAUGUUGUCUGCGGCAGGAAUCCAAGGCAUGCACUUCUCUUUUCUAUCACUACUUUGUUGUGGUCAUUUGAGUUUGUCAUGAUUGCAGUUGUGUGUUCAUGUCAGCUUGCAAAUCAUGCUCAUUUAGCAUUCCACGAUGAAGUACAAAAAAAAAUCACAGCAUAUCUUUCAGUACCUUUAUUAUGUGAAUUUAACUUACAAAAUUCAUGUCCCAUGAAUAAAUGCACGGGAAUAUAUAUUUAGCAGUACUUUUCAGCAAUACAUUUCCAAAAAAAGGUAAUUUUCUGGGCACUAUACUUUCUGUGAUCAUCCAUGCGUUAAUUUAUUUUAAUUUGUGGCCUUAAAAAAUAUUGAGUGUCUAAUGGCUAAAAAAGGGCAUAUGAAAAAGGUGGUUUGUACCAGGUCAACAAACAAAGGUAGUGUGGGAUUAAGGUGAAAAACUGGAAGUGUAUCUUCUUAUAUGGUCAAUGAUGUGAACAGUAAACACUAACCAGCAUCAUUAGCUGCAUAAACUUUGAAGCUCUAUUGCUGCAAGGACGCAGAUCACAUCCCUCCCGACACCGAAACAGCGGAAACCUCUCCAGCUGAUCUCCGCUUAGCACUUGUGGCUCCAACAGAUGCAGUUGACAACCGUGCUUGAUUUGUCCAGUAUGAUUACACUGCUCACAUUGAUCAGAAGGUAAGCUUGGUUUGUCUGAGAUCCCAAGUCCAACUAGAAUAUCCAUCACAUUCAUGUGAUUUUUUUUUCUGACAGUAGGUUCCAGAAGAUAAAGAUUACUUGUUGCAUUGAGGUAUGAGGCCAUUAAAAAAUAUGAUAGUUUCUUGUGUUUCUUUUGGAGACAGUAUAUGGUUUGUCUUUUCAUGCAUGUCUGAACUGGCAUUAUUUUUCUUAUGUCAAAGCUAAAUGUGCUUUCAGGUUCCUAAACUGAUGAUCCAUUAUGAUUAUGUGAAAAAGAAGCUGGCUAUUGCAGAUGAAAUUGGUUUGAUUCCCCCUAAAGGUAUGCACGAAUUUGUGAACUACUCAUGAUUACUCAUGAUUAGACCCCUGGGUUUUAACAUAUCUCUUUUGAUCUUUACUUAUAGGCUGCACCUGAUAGCAACCAGCUCAGAUGACUCACAUGUAGAUGGACACGGUGCCAUCAGGAAGAUAUGUCAAAACCAGACCAUCAGUUUUGAAUAUUGAUACCUUUGUUUCAUCGUAGGAUACACUGAAAUGUAACAUGAACUGACAAACUGCAGAAGUAUUACAGUAUUUGAAGGAGUGAAAAAUGGCAUUUUCUAUUUGUUCUAUAAUCUACAGUCUAUGUCACACCCUGAAAUUUUCGACUUUCAGGAUGUGAUUAAAAGGAAUAAUUAAAUAAUGAUUUUCUCAUAAUUUUAAAAUUUUACCAACAUUUAUUUUCUUUACAGGAAAUUUAGCAUAAGAAAAAUAAUUGUUUGAUUUUUCGAAUUAAAUAAUGUGGUUCUAUGUCUGUGCAUUCACGCCGAUGUAUUUUGGAGUUUUAUGAGUGAAAAAGUUUCAAAAAUACGUUUAGACGUUGUCCAAGUUCUUCUGAGAAUUUUCCAACUUUUUCUGGAAUUUAUUCUCCUUUUCCUUGAGCUUAAUCCAAUUUUUUUUGGAUGGUUCUAAAAUCCUUUUCAUGAGCUCCAAAUAUUUUAUUUGGAUUCCUUGUGUCCCAAUCUGUCUCUGGGAUUUUUCCCGGAAUUUUAGAAUUUUCUAAAUAUUUUUCAUGCUCUAAUAACAUUAUCUAGAAUUUCUAGAUUUGUUUUUACACUGGAAAUGUUUAUGGAAAUUCUAAAUCUAUCCUUUUCCUUAAGCCCGGCCCACAUCGGCCCAGCAGGCCGGCCUCUUCUUCUCCCAACCGCGGCCCACCUCCCUUUUUCCACCGGCCCGACUCAACUCCCUCUCUCCUUUUCUUUUUCCGCCGGCCCAUCACCACGCCUCCACGCCAGGCCGGCCCAUCAGCUCCCCCUCUCUCCCUCUCACCGACAGGUGGGGCCCACCUGUCGGGAUCGUCCCUCACCUCCGGCCAGGCGCCCGCUCGUUCCCCUGCUCCAAUCGCGCCGCCCCGUCUGCCGGCGCCGCUCCGGUUCCUCGCGCCCCUCCGCCUCCCUCCACGCGCACGCGCCGCCAGCGCCCCCUCUUCAAGAGCCAGUAACGGCCGCUCCUCCUCCGUCGCCAAUAAUGGCCACCACCGGCCGUUACUCCUCCCUUGGCGCUGUCUCCGCUCCUUCCCUCCGGCUUCUCCCUGCGCCGCUCCUUCUCCCGCGCGCCGCCGCUGCGUCUCCUCCGCUUCCCCUCCCGCGAAACGAACGGCCCUCCACCAAGCCGCCAUUAAUGGCCGGCCGAAGCUCUUCCUCUCCUCUGGCGCCACCUCAGCUGCCACCUAGCUCCUAUAAAACGCACCUCCGCCACCAGAGCCCCCCCCCCCCCUCCCCUUUUCCGCCACCAAUCGCCACCAGCGCCGCCGGACCGCGCCCCUGCACCACGCCGUCCAACCGCCGCCGCAUCUCCGGCCACCGUUGCCUCGCGCCGCUUCCCAAGCCCGGCGCGCCUCAACCGCAUCAGCCGCGCGCGCCCUGCCUCCCUGGCCCGGCCGCCGUCGCUGCCAGCCUGGCCGCCGCCGGCCGGAAGCACCCUCCCGGUCACCACUGUGAGCGGACGGAAGAAGUCAGUGACGAACCGAAGGAUUGAAGAAGAGGAUAAGAAGUGGAAGUUUUGCCGGUGAAGCCCCUUCCGCGUCCUCCUCUCGCCCAUCUCCACCUUCUGCACCUUUUGCCCGGAGUCCGCCGCGCCGAAGCGCCGGCGAGGCCGCCGGACAGAGCUCCUGCGCAAGCGUGCGCGUGAACACUGGAAGAAGGAGAUAAGGUGGCCGUUUUGCGUUUCAGCCCCUGAAGACCUCAGAAACUCUAUGGUUAAUUCUUGUGUCUUGUACCUUUCACAGAAAACACCCUGUACUCUUCAUGUCCUUGCAUUCUAAUCCGAUCCUUACCCUUUUCCAGAUCUAACCCUGAAGUUCCACCUUUUCGCGGGUUCUGUUCUCUGAGUCUCGGUAAACUUCUCUGCUAACCCUCGAAGUCUAUAGUUAAUCGCGUUUAAUUCCUUAGAACCUGUAGUUUUCGCGUUUUAGCUCCGUUUUAAUCCGUUCGAGUUGCGUUGCGUUCAUAACAUCAUAAAAUAUACGUUAGUGUUGUUGUCAUCCUACAUUUCAUGCCUUUAAAAAUAAAUUUAAUAUCAAUUUGAAUAAUGCCUAAUGAACAUGUGUUUCUCUAGAUAAAUAUCAAUAUGAUUAAUGACUACUUCAUAGUCUUUCUAAUAAAAGCCAAUUAGGAUGUACACCGGUUUUUCAUAAACCAAAGAUAGUUUGAUUAACACUUAUUUGAAUAAUUCUUACAAUUAAAAGCUAUUUAGAGUUAAACCUCUGCUUUUCUUAAAUUAAAUUUAAAUUUGACUAAUAUGUAUUCAAUUUGUCUUCUAAAUAAAAGCUACAUAGGUUAUAUCUCGAAUUUUCAUAAUCAAAUGUUAACUUGGCUAAUAUAAAUAUAAACGUGUUUUUAAUGUAAUAUGUUUAGUUGAAUUCGAAAUAUAAAGCUAUGCGCUUAGAUAUUCAUCUAUGCUUUAUUUCCAAAUUAAAUGUUUAAUUUGCAUAAAUUGUACUUAUAUUUAUAAAUAAAAUUUGACUAGGCUCUACAUCGUCUUUCACAUAAAUACAAAUAUGACUUGAUUAAUUCCAAAUAAAGGUAUUUCUUUGAAAUAUCUUUAAAUUGUUUUCUCAACUAAAAUAAAUGCAGCAAGUAGCUCUUGUCUUUUCUUUCGUGAAUCAAAUAUCUCGUUUUAAGCAUUUGUGUGAUCUUUAGAUCGAGUCUUGUCCUUUAGUAUGCUCUUUUAAACCUUUCCUUUUGUUUUGGUGUAUUAUUCUUAGUUGCUCUUGUUGUUUGUUUGUUGCCAAUGUUUGCUUCGAUUAGAAGGAUCGCUGUUCGAAGCUUUGAAGGUUAACAGUUUUAAGAAAGCAGGGUCUGAAGAGUAGUAAGAGUAACUUUUCGUUGGAGAAAGGCAAGUGUCCCUAACCAUCCUUCUACCUAUGCUUUAUUCACAAUACCAUGAGAAUGUUAAUUGGAACAUGGAGAACCACAUAAGAAAACAGUACAACCACAAUAUUACAUGGCUCUGAUCUUAGUCGACUAAUUAGGCAUAUGGUUGACUAGUGGCCUUACCGGAAGGGCAAGGAGGGGGAAGGUGUCGGGGGUAUGACCCGGAGCAGUAGCCUUCUAAGGUGCUAACUCAUUACAACAGGUUGUGACCCACAUCGCUACCGAAUCUCUAGCGGGCUACUAGUUGGCUAUGUGUCUUUGUAAAGGCUUCAUAGUGGACCCCCCAACCACUCGCCAAAGGAAGUGUUUAAGAGCUUUGCAAACCUGGGUGACAUGGGGGACCACGAGUUGUGGGUAAAGUGUACAACCUCUGCAGAGUGUAAACUGAUAUAUCAGCCGUGCUCACGGUUAUGAGUGGCUUGGACCCUCACAUGAUUAAUUAAACUUGAAGAUGGAUUAAAUCAUUAAUUCCGGUUAGUUCUUAUGACCUUGCUGAGUACCAACCAUAAGUGUACUCACCCUUACUUACUGCUGCUCAGAAGAAGAAGCUGUUGUGAAGUUGUGAAGAUGAUGCUGAGUUCUAGGCAUACGCAACCCCCAGCCGAGUGCCUGUGAAGUUUGGAGCCAUUGUUUUCAGGGUUUAAGCUGUGUUUUUUUGAUAGUCUUGUAAGUCUUUUUGUAUCUUUUUACGUGAUACUGUUGCUGUUAUUCACUUAUGACGUCACUGUAUGUAUAAAAUUUGAUCCUGGCAUACAUAUAGUUAAUACUUGAUUUUGUUUUAAAAACAAGGUGUGACAAUCUACUAGUGGCUGGGGGCACGCACUUGCGCGCCGCCGCCAUCUGGUGAAUGCGCCUGACCAUUGCGCGUGUCGUGAAAGGUAGCUGGUGAUUAGGGAAAAAAUCUCCAAAAGUUGAUUUUACAAAGGGCAUGUGCUAAAUAUUUUUCAGGAAAAGAAAAGAUCAGCUAGCAAUUCACUAACCGGGCGUCCCAAUAUAUUAUGAAAUUCAUUUUCUAGAAAAAGACGCAGUAGGUUCAAUAUUUGGGUUUCCUAAAAUUAUCUAAGAAACCUAAAUUUCACAAACUAUAUUGUAUAAGAAAUAAAUAGAAUUGAGUCACUAUUUCUUGAGUACACUCCCCCCUAUCUGUAUAUGUAGAGCUUCUUCUCAGCUUUGUUACCCAUUCCCAUAGCUACCCUUUGAGUCAUCAACUCAUCAUUACUACUGAAAAUUGUAAUACUUAGCAUUCUGAUCUACACAUGCAUUCAUUCUUUAAUGUGUUGUUCCACUCUUUCUUCUCAGGACCAUCUUAUCUAGGUGAUAAAAAGCCAAUGCUGCAUAAUAAAUUAACAUCAGUGCACAUAUGGGCGUUGGAAAAGGAAAAGAAAAAUGCAUAUAUCAUAAGCACAUCCAAAUCAAAGGUACUGUGUAUUGCACUAAAUUGGGCUGGGCAGGUAGUGUAAAAAGUAACAGAAGCACCUGCUUUGCUAAACUACAUACUAAAUUUUUAUAACCAUUCUCCUCUAGUUCACUAGGAAUAAAUGUAUCAACGGUUCAACACUGACUGCAAGAUGGUUUAUAUAUACUGGAAUAUGAGUCCUUAUUAUGCUUAAAUCAAAACAUCAUACAUAAGAACCACAAAAUUAUAAAAUUUAGUUAAAUAGCCCAUUCACAUAUCCAUCGUACAACUGAUGAAUCUCUUCACACAGCCUCACUUCAGAUGGUGGUGUGGAUACCAUUAUCAAGGAACCACCUAACAAACCUUGUGGUCGCUGUUAGAAAGAAGUAAUACAUAGGUAAGUUUGUCAGAAAAAAAUCGAAGUGGUAUAGGCCCUGAGCCCGGUUCCGUCACUUGGAGCAGCGCCGGCAAGGCCUAUUACCUCGGCAAGCAUAGAAGCUAGGGUCCCAAAAUAGAGAGCACUAAGAGCCCAAAUCGGAGGGGAAAUCGGCAUAGAUAGGACCGGUGUAGCAUGGAGAGCAGCACGGGAGUGCCCGGUGGAGAGGUCCGCCGUUGCCAGAGGUGGAUUUGGAGGCGGCGGCACCAACAGCUGUAGAACAGAGGGGUGAGGAAUGAAGUAGAGGUAGGAGAGUUGUUGCCUGUGCUGUGCCCUGUGCGUGUGCAGGUCCAGGGAAGAGAGAGGCACCGGAGCGUGACAGCGGCGGCAACGCCACGCCUCACGUGGUGCCGGAGCCGGAGCCGGAGGCCGAUGGAUCUCCCACUCCACCGCACCAUGACCUCUCGCAGCCUCUCCAUCGCGCCGUUGUCUUGUUUGGCCUUUCUGCCGCUGCAACCCCUCUCUGCACUCUGCGUUAAUUGCGGGUGGCAGGUCGUGGUUGGCUUCUAUCGGAAGGAAGCCAAGCUGCACCUGCGCCUGAUACCAUGGCCUCUGAGGUGACGGAAGCCUCACAUAAAACGUGGCCUCCCAUGCUGCGGUGGUGACGCAAGGCGCUGCCCCGUCUGCCCAAGAAGAACAUCGGCCGUCCACGUGCCCCUGCGUGAUCGGACGGAAGGCAAUUUCUUGAGGCUCUCCUUGCGCGCCCCCGCUCCAACCUUAGCGGCGUUUGAUAAUAGGUGCUAAACUUUAGCAGUAUCACAUCGGAUGUUCGGAUGCUAAUUAGAAGGAUUAAACAUGAGUUAAUUAUAAAACUAAUUGCAGAACCCUGUGCUAAUCCCCGAGACGAAUCUAUUAAGCCUAAUUAAUUCAUCAUUAGCAAAUGGUUACUGUAGCACCACAUUAUCAAAUCAUGGACUAAUUAGGUUUAAUAGAUUCGUCUCGCGAAUUAGACUCCAUCUGUGCAAUUAGUUUUUUAACUAGUCUAUAUUUAAUACUCCUAAUUAGUAUCCAAACAUCCGAUAUGAUAUGAUAGGUGCUAAACUUUAGCAGGUGUAUCCAAACGGGACCUUAAUAUGGACCAUCCCAGACAAGAGAUAUUAAAUCGUGCACUCUGAUGCAGCAAUCCCGUUGUGGUCUUACCAACAAUCAUCGACUACAGAAUAAGAUUGUGAUGGCUUAGCAUGAUGCAUGCAUUGUGUGCAGAAGUCCAGGCCUGUUUGGCAGCUCUAACGAUCAAAACAGAGCAAGGUAUGACUUGCAUCCAAAUAGACACGCACUCUUCCAUCGUACAUGGUUCACGAUCCUGUAACUCGUGUGCGCACGAACUAGCUAGCUCCAGUUUAGAUUGGGGUCUGGAUCAAUACAUCGCAUUUCUUUUGAACUCCCCAAUACAUCGCAUAAGAAGUCAAAUAAGAAUCAUUAGGUGACUAAUACUCUAAUUAGGUUUUUAUUUUUUUAAAAAAAUAAAAAAUUACUCUAGGUUUUGCUGCAUCAGGCUUUUCUCGACCCACACCGACCAGUGAAACUAAUUUAUACAAUACUUCACUUGAGGUGCUGGAAGCCUGGAACCCACGAAGGCACGAACCCAGAAGAUCCUCCCACCCCAAAAAAAAUAAAACCACCUGCCCCCUUCGAAACCCUAGCCCACUAUGGCCCUCACUUUGCGCCUCCGGCGGGCUGUCGUCACCGCCUCCGCCUGGACGCACUCGCCUCAACCUCCCAGCACAUCCCGCUUGCUCCGUUCGUUCCGCUGCCGCUCCCGCGGCCGUGGCUGCUUCCCGGUGCUGCUGGCGGGUUUCGGUCCGCGGCGGUGGGGCGAAGGGGCUAUGGGGCCAUCGCGGACAAUAGCAAGGUCUCGCUCCACGAUAGCCUGCUUGACAAGAAUCACUGGCUUAUCAUUAUGAGAUUCCCGGAUCCCAAGGCCUCCCGCGAGGAGAUGAUCGAGACCUACCUCCAGUCCCUCACCAAGGUCGUCAGAAGGUAUAAUGAAAUUCGAGCCAUUUCCUGUAGGAGUGUUGGUUUUCUAUAAAAAAAAAUGUUUGGCUUCCUAGGCAAUUGGGCUUGGUGUAGCGAUGGAUCAUUUCCUGUAGUUAGUAUGUAAUAAUGUAUUGUAUACAUCAUCUUGAUGUGUUGGUCUGAGUAGUAUAUGGGAUGAGUCGGUUGUUUGGUCGAAAAUACUGUACAUUGGUUUUGUUGUGGUGCUGGUGUUCUUUUUUUUAAAAAAAAUUAGUUUGGAUCUUGACACUAGUAUGUACUAACUCCAGUAGUUAAUACAGAAUGCAGGCAGUCAAGUUAUUCCAACUUCGGUUUUGAUUUGCUAUAUCAUAUAAAAAUGAGUAAUACGAGCAAUUUGAUCUUGAAAAAAAAGUAAUAAUAUCAUGUUUCUUUCUAUAGCGCGCAUUAAGAUUUCGAGAAGUAUAGACAAACAUAUUUUGACUAUCUUACAAUAUACUUAAUUAAUAUAGUAUUUAAAGACCUGUGAAAUACAAAUCUAUUGACGCAAAUUUUGUACACUAAGCAUACAUAUAAUUUGACUAAUUAUUAGUUAAAAUGUAUGAAGUUUGUCCUUUUAAAACCUAAUAUGUCCUGUAAAGGGAACCGGAGGAAGGAUGUAAUAAGUGGUCAGUAUCUUUUUUAGAUACCUAUUCACAAAAAAGUACUUGUUUGUGGUGUUGAGAGCUGUCCUUGAAAAAUCAGGAGGGUUCUCUCACGGGAAAUGUUUGGUACUAAUAUGAAUUUUCUGAUAGCGUUGCAUACUUGUGGAUAUUGGGUAUUUGUUUUGAAUAUGAUAACUUUUAAGUGUAUGAGUAAUUCAUGUUUGGUAUGUGUGGAUGUAAAUUAUGCCACCAACUUGCCUUUAUGUAAUAAAGUGGCAAAUAGGUUCUACUUCUGGUGUGUCAUUGAAACUCUGUUGUGAUUGAGAUCAAGUGUUGUUGUUGUCAAUGAUAUAAAAUCUUUUCCCUUUUUCAAAUGGUGGCUCUAGAAUGUAUAAUGCUGCCAUUUAGUUCUCAUGCGGAAGUGGUAGUUGUGCUGGCUCAAAUUGGAGUAGAGACGACAAAAAUGCAUAUUGAGUGUCAUGUGAUUUGAGUAAUAUAAAUGCAUGUUUUGGCUAGUAUUUUAGUGGAAGUUUGGUCAUCUGAAUUGGUUUCAUGUACAUAUUAUUUUUUGUUAAUGAGGGAUUAGCAAGUUGCUGCACCAUAGUAUCAAAACCAUCUAACUCCAACACCAUUUCACAGUUUUUUAUUGUUUCUCUGACAGAGCCAGCUUGGUUCGGUAUAUAUUGGAGUUUUUGGCAUGGUUAAUAUAAACAUUUCAAAGGGUGGGCGAUCCUGCUUUUAGUUUGGGGCAUAAUUUAGCCAAGGUUCACAUGAGAACAAAUGUAGAAAUAAAAUUAGUAUCUCAGGGUCCUAAUACUAAUAUGGCGAAGCUCUGAAAUAUUACAUUGCUCCCGCUUUAUUGUGUUCUUGUGUUAACAUAAAAUAUAUGCUGGAAGGGAAACAAAGGAUUUAACUUUGGAGGAUUAGUAAUUACUAACUUGAUUUUUUGGUAUCAUAAAAAUUCAAUUAACAGAAGUUGUACAUUCAUGCAUUGUCAAAUUACCUUUUCAGUAAAAAGGAUCACACCAACUAAAGUUAUGCUUCCCAUACUAUACUAUGUUUUUACUAGCUGGAAUCUUUGUUCCAGUGAUCUAUGUUUGGUGAAUGGUCCACCAUGCAGUUAUUGUUUGUUUUUUCUAAAACUUGUCAAUUUAUUGUUCUGUGAUGCCAAAAAUAUAAUUAUUUGGUGGUAUAGCUUGCAACGAACCAGUUCAGCUGUUGACUUGUUGCUCUUGCAUAGGGAGGUUAUAUUUAAGAUAGUCAAUUAAAUACAAGCAACUGCGACAUAUAAUUUGCCUCAUUUCGUGACCUCUGAGCAUCUUGUAGUUAUGAGGAGGCUAAGAGGAGCAUGUAUGCUUUUAGUACGACAAUUUAUAAUGGUUUUUAGGCUUUAGUGACGGAGGAAAUGUCAUUAAAAUUCCACGGUGAGUGCAUAGGAUUACUGAAUUCAAGUUUGCCUUGCCUGCCUGUUCUUACCUGCCUGUUUUGGUAUUUUCAUCAGGGUUGCCUGAGGUGGUUUUCAUUUUGCCUGAUGUGUAUCUAUAUCUAGAGACAAAGGAAUUUGGAGGUAGGUCGUCCCACUCUUUUCUCUUUACUGAAUCUACCAUUUAUUAACUUCCGAUACUUUUGUUUCCUUGUAUCCCGCGGGUAAAUAAGCAGUCCAUUCAUUUUAUUGAGUUUAUAACUGUGCCUUUAUUAAAAUUUAGUUUCAGAAUUUUCCUAAAUUUAUUUAAGCGCAUGCUAAAGUUUCUAAAUUUAUUUACUGCAUCUAGUACAUGGUAGAAAUUCAUACUAUGUGUAUGUUUUGACUUCAUCAGGAGAUAAAUAUGAUAAUGGUGUCAUCACUCCAAGACGACCAUUUCAUCACUGGGGCAAAUCAUCAAGGCCUGACACGAAGAUUAACUUCCAAAGGAAACAAUCACCAUAACAGAGCAGCCCUCCUCCACAAGAAAGUUCUCACAGCAGCCAUCCACAGCAAGAAGUUUCCAUACAUACUGCUGGUAGCAAGAUAGAAGCUAUGCAUAAAUCUCAUUAACUAAUCUGGUCGUGUUAAAACUUGAAUCCUAGAGUUUCACCGAAGACAAGCAUGAGGCCUGAGAUGUUGAAGUCCCUGCAUGUAACAUAAUCGACCAAUUUCAUUAUUGUGUCGUUUUGCUUGCAUUCAAAUUCUAGCCUGGUGGCAUGUGUUACUACCAAAUUAAAUUUCUAAUGCUGAGCCAUAUGUUGACAUUUCAAAACAUCACAAAUUGUGAAACUCUGGUCAGUGUUAAUCAAAGCCACAUGUCAUUCAGAUACUUUCAUUGAUCUUACCACUAGAACCUUGAAUUUGGGUAUGCCAUUCAUAUGCUUUGAUCCGUCUUAGUAUAUUACGACUGGGCCAUCUUGAAUAGGCAAUGUCUUUCAGUUGCUUUGAUCGAACUUUAUUGUUCAACUUGAAUUCUCAAUUCGUUCAGAUUCGAGUCAUGGGCAUGAAAUCGAACAUCUUUUAGUUUAUAGCGACUCAUCCAUUUGAAUGUACAGAACAAGUAAUCGUGGACAAUGAACGUGUUCUUCUCUGAUGAGAAUUUCCAUUAAACAAUAGUAAGAGUUGAAUAUGUGAUGCCAUUAGUGCUAGUAAAAAGGCCAGCAAUUUUGGAUAGUGAAAGCAUAGCCCUGCUACGAAACAUAGCAGAAUAAGCUGAUUUCCUCUCAAGUCAGGUGAUUAUAGUUUAAAUUUUAGGCUGCGAUGCAUAUUGAAAACAAAAGUGUCGUGUUACAACUUACUAUGAUGCAUGGCAGAAUUUUCCUAAGAUAUUUACUCUUUUUAUAUACUAGAAAAUUUAGCAUGCUCGACCUACCAACCGUCUCAUCAUCUAUUAGAAGAUAUAUAUAUAUAUAUAUAUAUAUAUAUAUAUAUAUAUAUAUAUAUAUAAUACUCCCAGCUUAUCCACAUUCUCAACUGUGGGGUAAAGAUACAUCACAGUUAAGGCAGAAAGCAAUAGGGAAUACAGAAUAUGCGGAUCGCAUUAUCUUCGGACCAUAGCAACUCAAUAGUGGAAUAAUGCAAACCAUCUUUACUGCUGUUUUCGAGCAUCUCAAAACACACAUUAAUUACAUACACCACAAUCACUGAAACAGGAAGAAGCACAACCUUGCGGCCCGUCAAGCAAGAUCUUUGGUUGAUACUCAGCAUCUGAAUAGAAGACAGGAAAAGACAAAUAGUCGGUAACACAUCAUAAAACCAUUGGACUAAACUUUCAGGUUCAAGUUAGAAUCUAUGUAUGUGCUUUUACUACCUUCAAUCAGUUCGAUUUCAAUUAGAACUCACUGUUACAUAGUUUGCUGGCUAGAGAGCACAUAAUACAUUUAUCUUGCCCAUAUUCUAGUAGAGAUGAAGGAAAGGUGUGCAAAUUUAAACAGGAAAUGAAAAGAAAACCUAAAGAUUUAUAUCGGUGAUAAUAGCAUGGAAUCAAAUAAUCAACACAUAGGAUAGGGUUUUUAGUCUACAAAUCAUGAGUACACCGACCAGGGUCCAAGUAACCUCAACGGAUAGUAGUCUUACCUGUAGCGAUCAGGAUUCCUCUGAGCUUGUUGCCAACUAAAGUGGCCAACACCUUACCACUUACAUCCACCGUGAUUAUAACUGGUGGUGCUCUUCUACUCCACAUAUGCUGUUUUUGUAUCAGUGCCCUACAUCGUUGUCCAUGUCUCCUAGCAGCCAAUGUGCCAACAGUAUUGUUAUCCUCCAAAAUAUCAAUACUCAGUCUAAACAUGGGAUAAUUAAAAAAAAUCCUCAGAAAGAAGAAUUUUGCAUCAUUUAACAAUUUUGGCACUCUGUAGAAAAAAGAAGCUAGAAUAAACUUAGUGUCGGAUUUAUAAGCUCGACAGUCCACCACGGGGUUACCCAAGUGGUUGAUUUGUAGGUGAGGACGAUUGCGAAACAAGAACUCGAAGGUGAUCGUGAGAACACUAAGGGGACAUGCCUCCGGAGAGUAAUACCCUACGUCAUGUAUGCUUGAUGAUUUAUAUUGCUCAAUGGUUCGAUUGCCUCGGGAGACUCCUUGGUCGCUGCUGACGAUCAAAAGUUACAAGUCCGUUUGAACUUAAUCUACUUGGUAGCUACAUGGAAGGUAAUCUAAGUCGACUUACAACACGCGUCCCAUAAUAUCCGGGUAAAUUUGUACUAUCUAGUUGCCUUGACGUAUACUUCAAGUAACUCCAUGUCCUCAGCCCACACGUCCUGGUCAGGCGGGCCCACUUGUUAGGUCCGGCUAGUAUCAUGGUCGGUGGGGGCUCAUGGGGUACCCAUAUCCCUCAAACCCCCAAGCAAUGUGUAGGCAAACAGAAACUAGUGGUCAUCACAGUGAGUCGCGUGGGGACGGGGCGGAGCUCCGGGAUCGGGGUGGGGAGCAGCGGGCGGCGUCCGGGGGAGCAAGCGGUUGCCAGCGUCGGGGGAGCGGGAGGGCGGCCUGGGGCUGGGGGCGGCGGAUCGGACCGCGGCUGAGUCCUCCACCGCUGGCGGAGCGAGCGGCGGCGGGGAUCCGGUCGCGGCUGAGUCCUCCACUGGUGCGGCGGUGGGUGGCGGGAGUGGGGCGGAAGUGCGGUGGGGGCUGGGCGGAAGUGCGCCGGUAGCGGGUGGAAUGGCGGCGAGCGGCUGGGCGGGAGGGAGGGUGGGAAAGAGAGAAAGGGCAGGGCAAUAAAGGAGGGGUAGUGAAGGACUUUAGGAGCCUUUAGGAGAGGGUGGAGCUCCUAAAUUUUUUGACCCCUUUUAAAGUCUUUAGGGGACGUUUGGAUACCAUGUGCUAAAGUUUAGUAGUGUCACAUCGAAUGUUCCGAUGCUAAUUAGGAGGACUAAACAUAAGGUAAUUAUAAAACUAAUUGCAUAACCUUGUGCUAAUUCGUGAUACGAAUCUAUUAAACCUAAUUAAUCCAUCUUUAGCAAAUGGUUACUGUAGCACCACAUUGUCAAAAUAUGGACUAAUUAGAUUUAAUAGAUUCGUCUCACGAAUUAAACUCCAUCUGUACAGUUAGUUUUGUAAUUAGACUAUGUUUAAUACUCCUAAUUAGCAUCCAAACAUCCGACAUGACACGUGCCUGCAUCCAAACAGGCCCUUAGAAGCUUUUAGGGGUGUGUUUGGUUUUUUAGGCAAAUUUUAUCUAGAUUUUAGCUCCUAAAGUUUGUUUUUAGGAGGGGUAACCAGGGUCAAAGCCUAGAUGUUUGGUAAUAAUAAUACCAAUAAUGAUAAUGGUAGCUGUUUCGUGGAGUUUGCUGGCAGUGCCGACGCGGUUUCUUCCUCCCUCUCUUCCGCGUUCAGCCGUUCAACCGUGUUGGAAUUUGGAUUGGAUUCCAGUCGAAAUUCAGGAAGGGAUGAACUGAGCUCGUUUAGGUUUCCAAAUCCCAAAUCAAUCCCCUGAAACCCUCACGGCCUCACCCUCCACCCCCAACAAAUAUACGGAGGGGGAGGCGGAGAGAACACCGGGAGAUUGAUUGUUGCAAGAGCAGAUCUGAUUCCGGAAGGACUAGGGAGGUAUGCUUGCUUGAUUUAUCGUCUCGUUUCUGCCCCCUUGACCUAAGACAGGCAUCGGCCUCCUGGAUCUCAUCCGCCACAUGUCCAUGGAGCGGCAGCCGGACCGCUGGCGUCGGCAAGUCCAAGCCCCUGGUUAGCAGCCUCGUCCUCCUCCUCCUCCUCCUUAGCAUGUGUUAUUUCUGUGCAUGCCCAGCCGCAGCGGCUUGUUGCAGUCUUAAUCUCUUAGCCAACAAUCAAUCCAUAUGGAGAACCAAAAGGAAGUCUUUUUUAACGGGUGUCUCUAGCGGUUUGGAUGGAUGGAUUAGCCAAUGAUAAUUACUAAUUGUUUGAGUGGCUAAAGCUAUCUACCAAUCUCCUUGUUGUUUCAAUGUGAAUCUGAAAAAAAAGGUCUUCCUUUUGCCGUCAUGUAAGUAAGACCUGAGAUGAGCCUUGGGAGCGACAAGAUCAGAGGCGAUUAUCUAGGGUGUGUUGAUCGCUUUGACUGAUGGUUUCCACCGCUUUGUUCCCUUGGCUUGAACUAGAUUGACAAGGUCGGGGGGUUCAUACGUAGGUGUGCUUGUUAUGCUGCUUUGUGCCUUUCAUAACCAUGCAUGUUAUCCUGUAGAUGGGUUGAUUACUUCACGGGCUAAAAGUAAGGGCUCACCCUGCUUGCAAGAUGAUGAUUCUCAGAGUGGUGAAAUACAAAUAUAUUCAGGACCAAGCCUUCCAGAGGUAUGACAUGACAUUUUGAUAAUGGGAGACCUUCUACAAGUAUAUUUAGUGAUUACUGCUUGAACUGACAAAUCACUUAACCCAUGCUCACUAAAUUGAUUAUGGUCUGAUAUUUUAGUUCUGUGAUCUCCUUCAGUCCUGCUGCAUCGAUAACUUCACUUUUUUCCAACUGUGCAUAAUUAAUUUUCCAGUGCACAUGGUUCUCCUAAGCAUAAUAAUGUUGCAACCCUCUUCUGUCCUUCAAUGCACAUAAAAGCUUGAAUUUCUUAAACUUAGAGUUUGUAAAAUUACCAUCAAUGAUGAGGACUUACAGUUAAUCUCCAUAUCAUCUAUAAGUUCCUUUGAAUGUAUAACUACAAAAAAAUAUUGAUUUCUAGGCUGGUCAUAGGUCAUGUCUUUGUAGUGCUACUUCCCAUGAAGUCUAUUAAGUGACUUUUUUAUAUCUGCAUUCAACCAUUGCAGACAAUACAUUGUAACUUAGGGCUGCAUAUCCUAGGAGAACGGCAUGUUUCCAUCUGAUCAGUUUAUUAAGAUUUAUGGCACAUUCUUUUAGCUUUCAAAGCUGUUCAACUCUACUAUACGACUGCAUUUGCUGUUCAAAUAUUCAGAUGCAUUGUUACCCUGUCCAGAAGUGCAUGCUCUUUCUGUCCAAUCUACCAUCAACUAGCAUGGUAGUGUACAACGAAACAUCAUCCCAUCCAUCUUAGUUGGCACAAAUGCAAAGAAAUCAGUAUUGUUGGGCAUUACAUGUCUGAUUUGGGUAGUAACACAUUCUAGUAGUAAAAAUGAGGUGUG
rnacentral:lncRNA from 1 species